GUGAGGAAUAUUGGUCAAUGGGCGGGAGCCUGAACCAGCCAAGUCGCGUGAAGGAAGAAGGAUCUAUGGUUCGUAAACUUCUUUUGCAGGGGAAUAAAGUGCAGGACGUGUCCUGUUUUGUAUGUACCCUGAGAAUAAGGAUCGACUAACUCCGUGCCAGCAGCCGCGGUAAUACGGAGGAUCCGAGCGUUAUCCGGAUUUAUUGGGUUUAAAGGGUGCGUAGGUGGUUUGAUAAGUCAGCGGUGAAAGUUUGCAGCUUAACUGUAAAAAUGCCGUUGAAACUGUCGGACUUGAGUGUAAAUGAGGUAGGCGGAAUGCGUGGUGUAGCGGUGAAAUGCAUAGAUAUCACGCAGAACUCCGAUUGCGAAGGCAGCUUACUAAGCUACAACUGACACUGAAGCACGAAAGCGUGGGGAUCAAACAGGAUUAGAAACCCGUGUAGUCC
rnacentral:rRNA from 1 species